AGUGAACGCUGGCGGUAGGCCUAACACAUGCCAGUCGAACGGCAGCACAGUAAGAGCUUGCUCUUACGGGUGACGAGUGGCGGACGGGUGAGGAAUACAUCGGAAUCUACUUUUUCGUGGGGGAUAACGUAGGGAAACUUACGCUAAUACCGCAUACGACCUACGGGUGAAAGCAGGGGAUCUUCGGACCUUGCGCGAUUGAAGGAGCCGAUGUCGGAUUAGCUAGUUGGCGGGGUAAAGGCCCACCAAGGCGACGAUCCGUAGCUGGUCUGAGAGGAUGAUCAGCCACACUGGAACUGAGACACGGUCCAGACUCCUACGGGAGGCAGCAGUGGGGAAUAUUGGACAAUGGGCGCAAGCCUGAUCCAGCCAUACCGCGUGGGUGAAGAAGGCCUUCGGGUUGUAAAGCCCUUUUGUUGGGAAAGAAAAGCAGCAGGUUAAUACCCCGCUGUUCUGACGGUACCCAAAGAAUAAGCACCGGCUAACUUCGUG
rnacentral:rRNA from 1 species